CUAUACUAUACGUUCUCGGCAUCGAUUCCCGGAAGUAAAAAAGCCUUUAUUUUGUUUUCUUGUAAUAAAUAAUCACUACCACGUAUGCUCGAAUAACUCAUGAUAAUUUCAGCCCUGCGUUGAAACGAUUACAUGACAAAAUUUUCAACCCAGGGCUGAGUUCAACCCCGGGGUUGAACUCAGAGAUUUAUUUUGUUUUCUUGUAAUAAAUAAUCACUACCACGUAUGCUCGAAUAACUCAUGAUAAUUUCAGCCCUGCGUUGAAACGAUUACAUGACAAAAUUUUCAACCCAGGGCUGAGUUCAACCCCGGGGUUGAAAAUGCUCCAUGUAAUCAGCCCCUAAUGAGGUACAUGAUAUGAGAAAGGUAUCUCUGUAAAAAGAUUUAUUAUAACAUUUCAAAAUUGUGCGUAAACCCGUGUCAGGUCAGGGGGCAGAUCAUUAUUCAUUAAUAAGGUACGGACUAAUAGCGGCUGCUUAAAGCGCUAUCUGUAAGAUCACAGUACCCCGGUCUGCUCCACGCCAGUUCCGGGGUCCUAAUAUAGCCAGUCACUGAAAAACCCUGAUAUAGGGAGUGUGCAGGGUGCAAUAUCUGUAACUGUAAUCUGUAACUCAAAAUUACCAGAAGAUGUUAUGGAAGCACAACCGACAAAAAGGUUACUGAGCAUUUCCGAUCGCGCACGACCACAAUGUAGGCCUACAGCUGCGGUAAACAAUGGUUUAAGAUAAAAUUCCCCCGCAUGUGUAAAUUUGGUUCAGUCUCGCUCGCCCGCAGCAAAAAAGGUUGGGUGAAAUACAAUUGUCAUUUUCCCGAAAAGUAAAGAAAAAUAUCCAACUCGAAGUUUAACUCGAAGUCCAACUCGAAGUCCAACUCGAAGUCCAACUCGAAAUCGAACUCGAACUCGAAUCCAACUCGAUGUUACCUAACUCCC